rnacentral:rRNA from 1 species
GACGAACGCUGGCGGCGUGCUUAACACAUGCAAGUCGAACGAAGAGCGAUGGAAGCUUGCUUCUAUCAAUCUUAGUGGCGAACGGGUGAGUCACGCGUAAUCAACCUGCCCUUCAGAGGGGGACAACAGUUGGAAACGACUGCUAAUACCGCAUACGAUCUAAUCUCGGCAUCGAGGAUAGAUGAAAGGUGGCCUCUACAUGUAAGCUAUCACUGAAGGAGGGGAUUGCGUCUGAUUAGCUAGUUGGAGGGGUAACGGCCCACCAAGGCGAUGAUCAGUAGCCGGUCUGAGAGGAUGAAAGGCCACAUUGGGACUGAGACACGGCCCAGACUCCUACGGGAGGCAGCAGUGGGGAAUCUUCCGCAAUGGACGAAAGUCUGACGGAGCAACGCCGCGUGAGUGAUGACGGCCUUCGGGUUGUAAAGCUCUGUUAAUCGGGACGAAAGGCCUUCUUGCGAAUAGUGAGAAGGAUUGACGGUACCGGAAUAGAAAGCCACGGCUAACUACGUG